GCUUAGCCCUAAACAUUGAUAGCACCCUUACACCAGCUAUUCGCCUGGGAACUACGAGCAUGAGCUUAAAACCCAAAGGACUUGGCGGUGCUUAAGAUCCACCUAGAGGAGCCUGUUCUAGAACCGAUAACCCCCGUUCAACCUCACCCUCCCUUGUUUUUUCCGCCUAUAUACCGCCGUCGUCAGCUUACCCUAUGAAGGCAAAAUAGUAAGCAAAAUUGGUACAACCUAAAACGUCAGGUCGAGGUGUAGCGCAUGAGAGGGGAAGAAAUGGGCUACAUUCACUACAAUAGUGAAUACGAAUGAUGCACUGAAACGUACAUCCGAAGGAGGAUUUAGCAGUAAGCAGGGAAUAGAGUGCCCAGCUGAAACCGGCCCUAAAGCGCGCACACACCGCCCGUCACCCUCCCCAAUUCCAUUAUACCAAUAACUAAUACCCCACAAGACAUUAAGGGGAGGCAAGUCGUAACAUGGUAAGUGUACCGGAAGGUGCACUUGGACAAACCAGAGUGUAGCUAAAACAGAAAAGCAUCUCCCUUACACCGAGAAGUUAUCCGUGCAAAUCGGAUCACCCUGAACCAAACAGCUAGCCCGCCCCCCUAAACCCAAACCACCACCAUAAAUAACCCCAAACACACAACAACAAACUUAACCAAACCAUUUUACCCCCUUAGUACGGGAGACGGAAAAGGAAUCAGGAGCCAUAGAUAAAGUACCGCAAGGGAACGCUGAAAGAGAAAUGAAACAACCCAGUAAAGUGAGAAAAAGCAGAGACCAAAACUCGUACCUUUUGCAUCAUGAUUUAGCCAGAAUAACCCAAGCAAAGAGCACUUUAGUUUGAUACCCCGAAACUAAGUGAGCUACUCCAAGACAGCCUAUUUUAGGGCCAACCCGUCUCUGUGGCAAAAGAGUGGGAAGAACUUUGAGUAGAGGUGACAGACCUACCGAACUUAGUAAUUGCUGGUUGCCUAGGAACUGAAUUUAAGUUCAGCCUUUUGACUUCUCCCCUCACCUCAUCCUCACCCUACCUGACACUAAAGAAGUCAAAAGAGUUAGUCAAAGGGGGUACAGCCCCUUUGAACCAAGACACAACUUUUUCUAGCUGGGUAAAGAUCAAAUUCACCAAAGGAAUACAUGUCUUCGUGGGCCUAAAAGCAGCCACCCCAACAGAAAGCGUUAAAGCUCAGACAUAACAACAACUUCCCAUAAUCCUGAUAACCCAAUCUUAACCCCCUUCCCCUACUAGGCUGUUUCAUGCAAACAUGAAAACACUACUGCUAAUAUGAGUAAUAAGAGAGAACCGACCUCUCUCCUCGCACGCACAUACAUCGGAACGGACCCUCCACCGAACAUUACCGGCCCCAAACAAAGAGGGUAAUGAACAACAAACUAAACACCCAGAAAAACCCCCAAAAAACAACCGUUAAGCCCACACCGGCGUGCCAAUGAGGAAAGACCCAAAGAAAAAGAAGGAACUCGGCAAACACCUAAGCCUCGCCUGUUUACCAAAAACAUCGCCUCUUGUAAGCCAAAUAUAAGAGGUCCCGCCUGCCCAGUGACAACAAGUUAAACGGCCGCGGUAUUUUGACCGUGCAAAGGUAGCGCAAUCACUUGUCUUUUAAAUGAAGACCCGUAUGAAUGGCACAACGAGGGCCUAACUGUCUCCUUUUUCAAGUCAAUGAAAUUGAUCUCCCCGUGCAGAAGCGGGGAUAAUAACAUAAGACGAGAAGACCCUAUGGAGCUUUAGACACCAGAGCAGACCUUGUUAAACUAACUCUAAACAAAGAACUAAACCAAAAGGACCCUGCCCACAUGUCUUUGGUUGGGGCGACCGCGGGGAACACAAAACCCCCAUGUGGAACGGGAGAACUCCUCCCACAACCAAGAGCUACAGCUCUAAGCAAUAGAAUUUCUAACCAAAAUGAUCCGGCAAUGCCGAUCAACGGACCGAGUUACCCUAGGGAUAACAGCGCAAUCCCCUUCUAGAGCCCAUAUCGACAAGGGGGUUUACGACCUCGAUGUUGGAUCAGGACAUCCUAAUGGUGCAGCCGCUAUUAAGGGUUCGUUUGUUCAACGAUUAAAGUCCU
rnacentral:misc_RNA from 1 species